GGCCGACUAGCUCAGUUGGUUAGAGCGUCGUGCUAAUACCAAUGUUAACGCGAAGGUCUUGGGUUCGAUCCCCACGUUGGCCA